rnacentral:rRNA from 1 species
GACAGAGGAUGCAAGCGUUAUCCGGAAUGAUUGGGCGUAAAGCGUCUGUAGGUGGCUUUUUAAGUCCGCCGUCAAAUCCCAGGGCUCAACCCUGGACAGGCGGUGGAAACUACCAAGCUGGAGUACGGUAGGGGCAGAGGGAAUUUCCGGUGGAGCGGUGAAAUGCGUAGAUAUCAGGAGGAACACCGAUGGCGAAGGCAGGUCUCUGGGCCACUACUGACGCUGAGAAGCGAAAGCAUGGGGAGCGAACAGG